UCCAUUCCUAGUAUUAAAUCGAAUUCUCCAAAAGGCAUCAAAUUCGCCAAAAAGAUAACUCCUUGAACCUCCUAUCUCUGAGUAGUCUAUUUACCCUGAACGACUACCCCAAAGGACUCAGUACAGUAACCUCACUCGCAGUACUCUCAACCAAGAUACCCAAAGUCUCAAACACAGUACAAGCUAUAUAGGAGAGAGUAGAUUAUAUAUCUAUCAGUGCAGUAUAAUGUACAUUAUAGAUAAAGAACAUACCUAUGAUAACAUCCGGA
rnacentral:lncRNA from 1 species